GCUGCGAUGGCCGAGUGGUUAAGGCGUUGCACUCGAAAUCCAAUGGGAUAUUCCCGCGCAUGUUCGAAUCCUGUUCGCAGCG
rfam:Ciona savignyi cont_31979, whole genome shotgun sequence.